CCUACGGGGGGCAGCAGUGGGGGAUAUUGCACAAUGGGGGAAACCCUGAUGCAGCGACGCCGCGUGGGUGAAGAAGCGCCUCGGCGCGUAAAGCCCUGUCAGCAGGGAAGAAAAUGACGGUACCUGAAGAAGAAGUCCCGGCUAACUACGUGCCAGCAGCCGCGGUAAUACGUAGGGGGCAAGCGUUAUCCGGAUUUACUGGGUGUAAAGGGGGCGCAGACGGCGAUGCAAGCCAGGAGUGAAAGCCCGGGGCCCAACCCCGGGACUGCUCUUGGAACUGCGUGGCUAGAGUGCAGGAGGGGAAGGCGGAAUGCCUGGUGUAGCGGUGAAAUGCGUAGAUAUCAGGAGGAACACCGGUGGCGAAGGCGGCCUGCUGGACUGCAACUGACGUUGAGGCCCGAAAGCGUGGGGAGCAAACAGGAUUAGAUACCCUUGUAGUC
rnacentral:rRNA from 1 species